GGGGAAUCUUCCGCAAUGGGCGAAAGCCUGAUGGAGCAACGCCGCGUGAGUGAAGAAGGUCUUAGGAUUGUAAAGCUCUGUCCUUAGGGAAGAACCGUGGGUAUAACAAAUGAUACCCACCUGACGGUACCUUUGGAGGAAGCACUGGCUAACUACGUGCCAGCAGCCGCGGUAAUACGUAGAGUGCAAGCGUUGUCCGGAAUUAUUGGGCGUAAAGGGUACGCAGGCGGAUAAUCAAGUCAAGCGUGAAAGGUGUCGGCUUAACCGACAGACUGCGUUUGAAACUGGUUAUCUUGAGUGUAACAGAGGAGAGUGGAAUUCCUAGUGUAGUGGUGAAAUACGUAGGUAUUAGGAAGAACACCAGUGGCGAAGGCGACUCUCUGGGUUAACACUGACGCUGAGGUACGAAAGCUGGGGGAGCGAAUGGGAUUAGAUACCCCAGUAGUC
rnacentral:rRNA from 1 species